rnacentral:rRNA from 1 species
UACAGAGGUCUCAAGCGUUUGUUCGGAUUCAUUGGGCGUAAAGGGUGCGUAGACGGUGUAUUAAGUCAACUGUAUAAUUCUCCAGCCUAACUGGAGUCCUGCGGUUGAUACUGAUAUGCUUGAGGGCGUAAGAGAGAAGCGGAAUUCUCGGAGUAGCGGUAAAAUGCGUAGAUCUCGAGAGGAACACCAAUGGCGAAGGCAGCUUCUUAGUACGUUUCUGACGUUGAGGCACGAAAGCGUGGGGAGCAAACAGG